rnacentral:rRNA from 1 species
AGUGAACGCUGGCGGUAGGCCUAACACAUGCAAGUCGAACGGCAGCACAGUAAGAGCUUGCUCUUACGGGUGGCGAGUGGCGGACGGGUGAGGAAUACAUCGGAAUCUACUUUUUCGUGGGGGAUAACGUAGGGAAACUUACGCUAAUACCGCAUACGACCUACGGGUGAAAGCAGGGGAUCUUCGGACCUUGCGCGAUUGAAUGAGCCGAUGUCGGAUUAGCUAGUUGGCGGGGUAAAGGCCCACCAAGGCGACGAUCCGUAGCUGGUCUGAGAGGAUGAUAGGCCACACUGGAGCUGAGACACGGUCCAGACUCCUACGGGAGGCAGCAGUGGGGAAUAUUGGGCAAUGGGCGCAAGCCUGAUCCAGCCAUACCGCGUGGGUGAAGAAGGCCUUCGGGUUGUAAAGCCCUUUUGUUGGGAAAGAAAAGCAGCAGGUUAAUACCCCGCUGUUCUGACGGUACCCAAAGAAUAAGCACCGGCUAACUUCGUG